CCAGACUCCUACGGGAGGCAGCAGUGGGGAAUAUUGGGCAAUGGAGGCAACUCUUACCCAGCAAUGCCGCGUGAAUGAAGAAGGUCUUCGGAUUGUAAAGUUCUUUCAUUGGGGACGAAAAAAAUGACGGUACCCAAGGAAUAAGCCCCGGCUAACUACGUGCCAGCAGCCGCGGUAAUACGUAGGUGGCAAGCGUUAUCCGGAUUUACUGGGUGUAAAGGGCGAGUAGGCGGGAUUGCAAGUCAGAUGUGAAAACUAUGGGCUCAACCGAUAGAGUGCAUUUGAAACUGCAGUUCUUGAGUGAUGGAGAGGCAGGCGGAAUUCCCGGUGUAGCGGUGGAAUGCGUAGAUAUCAGGAGGAACACCGGUGGCGAAGGCGGCCUGCUGGACUGCGACUGACGUUGAGGCCCGAAAGCGUGGGGAGCAAACAGGAUUAGAUACCCCGGUA
rnacentral:rRNA from 1 species